AUUGAGCGCUGGCGGAAUGCUUUACACAUGCAAGUCGAACGGCAGCACGGACUUCGGUCUGGUGGCGAGUGGCGAACGGGUGAGUAAUAUAUCGGAACGUGCCCAGUCGUGGGGGAUAACGCAGUGAAAAUUACGCUAAUACCGCAUACGAUCUAGGGAUGAAAGCGGGGGAUCGGAAGACCUCGCGCGAUUGGAGCGGCCGAUAUCAGAGUAGGUAGUUGGUGAGGUAAAGGCUCACCAAGCCAACGAUCUGUAGCUGGUCUGAGAGGACGACCAGCCACACUGGGACUGAGACACGGCCCAGACUCCUACGGGAGGCAGCAGUGGGGAAUUUUGGACAAUGGACGCAAGUCUGAUCCAGCCAUUCCGCGUGCAGGACGAAGGCCUUCGGGUUGUAAACUGCUUUUGUACAGAACGAAAAGGUCUCUAUUAAUACUAGGGGCUCAUGACGGUACUGUAAGAAUAAGCACCGGCUAACUACGUGCCAGCCGCCGCCGUAA
rnacentral:rRNA from 1 species